UACGUAGGGGGCUAGCGUUGUCCGGAUUUAUUGGGCGUAAAGAGCGUGUAGGCGGCCAGGUAGGUCUGCUGUGAAAACUCGAGGCUCAACCUCGAGACGUCGGCGGAAACCAUCUGGCUAGAGUCCGGAAGAGGAGAGUGGAAUUCCUGGUGUAGCGGUGAAAUGCGCAGAUAUCAGGAAGAACACCCGUGGCGAAGGCGGCUCUCUGGGACGGUACUGACGCUGAGACGCGAAAGCGUGGGGAGCAAAAGGG
rnacentral:rRNA from 1 species